AAAAAGCAAACACAGCUCUAUAAACGUAUUUGGUAUUCUAAUGAUAUUUUGAUAUAUUUUUGGAGGGUAGUUUUUGGGCAGAUUUUUUAAAAGUGGAAGUAUUAGUAGUAAUAAUCCAAGUACCCUGUGUUAGGUCGCUUUCUAAUGGUGUGAGCUGUGUUAGGUGAUGAUAGUCUUUCUGCUGCAAAAGAAUAAUUUCCCUUACUUUGUGUAUUUUGUGGCCAGAAAAAAUAUUAAAAUCAUCCUGACCUGCUGUGUGACAUUUCAGAGCAUUUCCCGUUGGGUGCUGGAGGGCAGGGCCUUUGCUGGGGAGCACACCGGAUUGCCUGCUGUUGGUGCUGUUGGUGUGGUGUUCUGAGCAGCCACAGAUAUGUGUAUGUCUGGUGCCUGUUUUUGCAUUUCUCUGAUGUUUGCUGUAGGGAUGGAUAGUCCUCUGUGAUUCCCUAUGACAACACUCAUGAAGACAGACUGUUAAAUAUGAAUCACAGAUGCCAUGAAGAAUUCCCUGGUAUCACUAACAAAAGGGAGGUAGAGGAGAUUCUGGAAGCAGCCUGGAAAUAUCGCACACUGCCCAUUACAUUAAUGGAAAGUAUUGAUAUGUCCAGGAGGUGAUCGGAAGACCUGAGGACAACAUAAUCAUCUUGCUGUUCUACAUGCUGCCUAUGAUUACUUAUUUUGAAAUCAUUAGCUGAAAAUAUUGACGUGUUAGGUAAUGAAUAAAGCUCACAUCAAAGAAACAAAUUUAGGUUUUUAAUUUAAAAAAAAACACCUGCAAAUGCAAUGGAUUUCUAAUGAAUCCCUCAAGA